GACGAACGAUGGCGGCGUGCCUAAUACAUGCCAGUCGAGCGGACUGAAUGGGAGCUUGCUCUUGUUCGGUCAGCGGCGGACGGGUGAGUAACACGUGGGCAACCUGCCCGCAAGACCGGGAUAACUCCGGGAAACCGGAGCUAAUACCGGAUAACACCGAAGACCGCAUGGUCUUUGGUUGAAAGGCGGCGCAAGCUGCCACUUGCGGAUGGGCCCGCGGCGCAUUAGCUAGUUGGUGAGGUAACGGCUCACCAAGGCGACGAUGCGUAGCCGGCCUGAGGGGGUGACCGGCCACACUGGGACUGAGACACGGCCCAGACUCCUACGGGAGGCAGCAGUAGGGAAUCUUCCGCAAUGGGCGAAAGCCUGACGGAGCGACGCCGCGUGAGCGAAGAAGGCCUUCGGGUCGUAAAGCUCUGUUGUGAGGGACGAAGGAGCGCCGUUUGAAGAAGGCGGCGCGGUGACGGUACCUCACGAGGAAGCCCCGGCUAACUACGUG
rnacentral:rRNA from 1 species